AACUGAUACUACCUGCGGGAACCUGCGGAAGGAUCAUUAUUGAGUCUUGACUGGGGUUGUAGCUGGCCUUCCGAGGCACUGUGCACGCCCUGUUCAAUCCACUCUACACCUGUGCAUUUAUUGUAGGUUUAAGAUGGUGAAGCAAAAGUCUUUUAAUGGGCUUGUGAAGCCGUCUGCACCUGCGUUUAUUACAAACUCUUGAAAAGUAUUAGAAUGUAUAUUGGGAUAUAAAGAGUAUAU
rnacentral:misc_RNA from 1 species